rnacentral:rRNA from 1 species
CGACAGGCCUAACACAUGCAAGUCGAGGGGCAGCACAAUGCGUAGCAAUACAAAUGGUGGCGACCGGCGCACGGGUGAGUAACGCGUACGCAAUCUACCCUUAACAGGAGGAUACCCAGAGGAAACUCUGACUAAUACUCCAUUAACAUUGCAGAUUCGCAUGAAUCAGCAAUUAAAACUCCGGUGGUUAAGGAUGAGCGUGCGUCUGAUUAGCUAGUUGGUGAGGUAACGGCUCACCAAGGCUACGAUCAGUAGCUGGUCUGAGAGGAUGAUCAGCCACACUGGGACUGAGACACGGCCCAGACUCCUACGGGAGGCAGCAGUAGGGAAUAUUGGACAAUGGGCGAAAGCCUGAUCCAGCCAUCCCGCGUGCAGGAUUAAGGCCCUAUGGGUUGUAAACUGCUUUUAUCAGGGAAGAAACCGAGAGAUUCAUCUCACGUUGACGGUACCUGAUGAAUAAGCACCGGCUAACUCCGUG